GCCUUGUGUGGUGUAGUGGUCAGCACUCUGAAUAAUGAAUCCAGCAAUCCUGGUUCAAGUCUUGGUAGGUCC